GCUUAAGUAUUUUAAUAAAAAAUGUUGUUUUGUGGGAUCAAUGAUAUGAAAUUUUCAUCUUAAGCC
rnacentral:tRNA from 1 species